rnacentral:rRNA from 1 species
AGGACGAACGCUGGCGGCGUGCUUAACACAUGCAAGUCGAGCGGUAAGGCCUUUCGGGGUACACGAGCGGCGAACGGGUGAGUAACACGUGGGUAGAUCUCGCCUGCACUCGUGGGAAUAACGCCGUAGGAACGUGGGUACUAAGUACCGGAUAUCGACCUGCUCUCGCAGGUGGGGGUGGGUAGGAAAGUAUUUAGUCGGUGACGAA